rnacentral:rRNA from 2 species
CUGUACGCGCGUACCUGCAGUCGACGAUGAGCCCGGCUUGCUGGGUGGAUUAGUGGCGAACGGGUGAGUAACACGUGAGUAACCUGCCCUUAACUCUGGGAUAAGCCUGGGAAACUGGGUCUAAUACCGGAUAGGAGCGCCCACCGCAUGGUGGGUGUUGGAAAGAUUUAUCGGUUUUGGAUGGACUCGCGGCCUAUCAGCUUGUUGGUGAGGUAAUGGCUCACCAAGGCGACGACGGGUAGCCGGCCUGAGAGGGUGACCGGCCACACUGGGACUGAAACACGGCCCAGACUCCUACGGGAGGCAGCAGUGGGGAAUAUUGCACAAUGGGCGCAAGCCUGAUGCAGCGACGCCGCGUGAGGGAUGACGGCCUUCGGGUUGUAAACCUCUUUCAGUAGGGAAAAGCGAAGUGACGGUACCUGCAGAAGAACACCGGCUAACUACGUGCCACAGCCGCGGUAAUACGUAGGGGCGAGCGUUUCCGGAAUUAUUGGGCGUAAAGAGCUCGUAGGCGGUUUGUCGCGUCUGUCGUGAAAGUCCGGGGCUUACCCCGAUCUGCGGUGGGUACGGGCAGACUAGAGUGCAGUAGGGGAGACUGGAAUUCCUGGUGUAGCGGUGGAAUGCGCAGAUAUCAGGAGGAACACCGAUGGCGAAGGCAGGUCUCUGGGCUGUAACUGACGCUGAGGAGCGAAAGCAUGGGGAGCGAACAGGAUUAGAUACCCUGGUAGUCCAUGCCGUACACGUUGGGCACUAGGUGUGGGGACCAUUCCACGGUUUCCGCGCCGCACUUACGCAUUAAGUGCCCGCCUGGGGAAUACGGCCGCAGGCUAAACUCAAAGGAUUGACGGGCGCCGCACAGCGGCGGACAUGCAGAUUAUUCGAUGCACGCGAAGACCUUUACAGGCUUGACAUGUCUCGAUCGCCGAAAGAUACGGUUCCCUUUUUGGGCGGUCACAGGUGUGCAUGGUUGUCUCACUCGUGCGUGAAAUGUGGGUAAGUCCGCACGAGCGCACCUCGUUCAUGUGCCACACCUCUGGUGGGACUCUGGAAACUGCGGUCACUCGGAGAAGGGAGACCACUCAAUCUCUGCCCUUUGUCUGGCUCACCUGUAAUGGCGGACAUGGUGCAACUGGAGGGACAACCAAAACGGUCUUCGAUGGGUGCACCCCCCAAACGAACCUUAUCCAAAAAACUCGGAAAUUCCGCUUACCCCCUAUCAAAUGUACCACGGGCACUUGGGACCAUGCUGCUAUAAUAGGACGAAAGAAAAGAAGCCGGGC